CAAUAGCGUAUAAUAAAAUUGUUGCAGUUAAAACGCUCGUAGUUGAAUAUCUGGGGUGAAAGGCCGGUCCGCUUCGGUGUGUACCGCGUCCUCUUCACAUCAUCCGUUUGCGUUUGCUUCGGCAUCUGCAAACCGUUCACUUUGAGGAAAUUAGAGUGUUCAAAGCAGGCUAACGCCUUGAAUACUUCAGCAUGGAAUGAUUGUUAGGACACCCGUCCUAUCAGUUGGUUCUAGGGGCGAGUGUAAUGAUUAAUAGGGUCGGUCGGGGCAUUCGUAUUGAACAGCUAGAGGUGAAAUUCUUAGAUUUGUUCAAGACGAACCACUGCGAAAGCAUUUGCCAAGUACGUACCCAUUAA
rnacentral:rRNA from 1 species